GGUUGGGGUCGUCCAGUAGUUAGGAUAGAAGACUGUGGAUCUUCUGACACGGGUGCGAUUCCCGUCCCCGACCU
rnacentral:tRNA from 1 species